AGGUUAAGUUAAUAAGGGCGCACGGUGGAUGCCUUGGCACUAGGAGCCGACGAAGGACGUGACAAACGACGAUAUGCCUUGGGUAGCUGUAAGUAAGCGAUGAUCCAGGGAUUUCCGAAUGGGGGAACCCAACAGGUAAUACCUGUUACCUACAUCUGUUAAGGAUGUGAGGAGGAAGACGCAGUGAACUGAAACAUCUAAGUAACUGCAGGAAGAGAAAGCAAAAGCGAUUGCCUUAGUAGCGGCGAGCGAAACGGCAGAAGGGCAAACCGAAGAGUUUACUCUUCGGGGUUGUAGGACUGCAAUGUGGACUCAAAGAUUAUAGAAGAAUGAUUUGGGAAGAUCAGCCAAAGAGAGUAAUAGCCUCGUAUUUAAAAUAGUCUUUGUACUUAGCAGUAUCCUGAGUACGGCGGGACACGUGAAAUCCCGUCGGAAUCUGGGAGGACCAUCUCCCAACCCUAAAUACUCCCUAGUGACCGAUAGUGAACCAGUACCGUGAGGGAAAGGUGAAAAGCACCCCGGGAGGGGAGUGAAAUAGAACCUGAAACCGUGUGCCUACAACAAGUUCGAGCCCGUUAAUGGGUGAGAGCGUGCCUUUUGUAGAAUGAACCGGCGAGUUACGUUAUGAUGCGAGGUUAAGUUGAAGAGACGGAGCCGUAGGGAAACCGAGUCUGAAUAGGGCGCCUUAGUAUCAUGACGUAGACCCGAAACCAUGUGACCUACCCAUGAGCAGGUUGAAGGUGCGGUAAGACGCACUGGAGGACCGAACCAGGGCACGUUGAAAAGUGCUUGGAUGACUUGUGGGUAGCGGAGAAAUUCCAAACGAACUUGGAGAUAGCUGGUUCUCUCCGAAAUAGCUUUAGGGCUAGCGUCGACAUUAGAGAUUCUUGGAGGUAGAGCACUGUUUGGGUGAGGGGUCCAUCCCGGAUUACCAAUCUCAGAUAAACUCCGAAUGCCAAUGAAUUAUGGUCGGCAGUCAGACUGCGAGUGCUAAGAUCCGUAGUCGAAAGGGAAACAGCCCAGACCACCAGCUAAGGUCCCAAAAUAAUUGUUAAGUGGAAAAGGAUGUGGGGUUGCACAGACAACUAGGAUGUUAGCUUAGAAGCAGCUAUUCAUUCAAAGAGUGCGUAAUAGCUCACUAGUCGAGUGACCCUGCGCCGAAAAUGUACCGGGGCUAAAACAAUUUACCGAAGCUGUGGAUACCUUUAUAGGUAUGGUAGGAGAGCGUUCUAUGUGUGAUGAAGGUAUACCGUGAGGAGUGCUGGAACGCAUAGAAGUGAGAAUGCCGGUAUGAGUAGCGAAAGACAGGUGAGAAUCCUGUCCACCGUAAGACUAAGGUUUCCAGGGGAAGGCUCGUCCGCCCUGGGUUAGUCGGGACCUAAGGAGAGACCGAAAGGUGUAUCCGAUGGACAACAGGUUGAUAUUCCUGUACUAGAGUAUGUAGUGAUGGAGGGACGCAGUAGGCUAACUAAAGCAGACGAUUGGAAGAGUCUGUCUAAGCAGUGAGGUGUGAAUUGAGUCAAAUGCUUAAUUCUAUAACAUUGAGCUGUGAUGGGGAGCGAAGUUUAGUAGCGAAGUUAGUGACGUCACACUGCCAAGAAAAGCUUCUAGCGUUUAAACAUACUCUACCCGUACCGCAAACCGACACAGGUAGUCGAGGCGAGUAGCCUCAGGUGAGCGAGAGAACUCUCGUUAAGGAACUCGGCAAAAUGACCCCGUAACUUCGGGAGAAGGGGUGCUGACUUAAAGUCAGCCGCAGUGAAUAGGCCCAAGCAACUGUUUAUCAAAAACACAGCUCUCUGCUAAAUCGUAAGAUGAUGUAUAGGGGGUGACGCCUGCCCGGUGCUGGAAGGUUAAGAGGAGUGCUUAGCGUAAGCGAAGGUAUGAAUUGAAGCCCCAGUAAACGGCGGCCGUAACUAUAACGGUCCUAAGGUAGCGAAAUUCCUUGUCGGGUAAGUUCCGACCCGCACGAAAGGCGUAAUGAUUUGGGCACUGUCUCAACGAGAGACUCGGUGAAAUUUUAGUACCUGUGAAGAUGCAGGUUACCCGCGACAGGACGGAAAGACCCCAUGGAGCUUUACUGCAGUUUGAUAUUGAGUGUCUGUACCACAUGUACAGGAUAGGUAGGAGUCUAAGAGAUCGGGACGCCAGUUUCGAAGGAGACGCUGUUGGGAUACUACCCUUGUGUUAUGGCCACUCUAACCCAGAUAGGUGAUCCCUAUCGGAGACAGUGUCUGACGGGCAGUUUGACUGGGGCGGUCGCCUCCUAAAAGGUAACGGAGGCGCCCAAAGGUUCCCUCAGAAUGGUUGGAAAUCAUUCGCAGAGUGUAAAGGUAUAAGGGAGCUUGACUGCGAGAGCUACAACUCGAGCAGGGACGAAAGUCGGGCUUAGUGAUCCGGUGGUUCCGUAUGGAAGGGCCAUCGCUCAACGGAUAAAAGCUACCCUGGGGAUAACAGGCUUAUCUCCCCCAAGAGUUCACAUCGACGGGGAGGUUUGGCACCUCGAUGUCGGCUCGUCGCAUCCUGGGGCUGUAGUCGGUCCCAAGGGUUGGGCUGUUCGCCCAUUAAAGCGGCACGCGAGCUGGGUUCAGAACGUCGUGAGACAGUUCGGUCCCUAUCCGUCGCGGGCGUAGGAAAUUUGAGAGGAUCUGCUCCUAGUACGAGAGGACCAGAGUGGACUUACCGCUGGUGUACCAGUUGUCUUGCCAAAGGCAUCGCUGGGUAGCUAUGUAGGGAAGGGAUAAACGCUGAAAGCAUCUAAGUGUGAAACCCACCUCAAGAUGAGAUUUCCCAUGAUUAUAUAUCAGUAAGAGCCCUGAGAGAUGAUCAGGUAGAUAGGUUAGAAGUGGAAGUGUGGCGACACAUGUAGCGGACUAAUACUAAUAGCUCGAGGACUUAUCCAAA
rnacentral:rRNA from 1 species